AUCACUUAUAAAUCUUCUAUAAAUUAUCUUUAAUUUCUCUUUUCCACUUUUCUGUUUCAGCCUCCUGGUAUUUUUAAGGAAAUGUAAGACUGUGAAUCAGGUACUGAUGGUUUUGACUUCAUUAUGAUCAGCAUCUUUGGCUUCCAUCAGAGUAGACACUGAACGUUUUCAUCCAACCGGAUGAUGAGUGCAUUAGAACUACAUAAGAGAUGAAAUCCUUUCUCCCUGGGACAUAAAAAUAAUCCACAUCUUCACAACAACAGCUGUUCCUCUAUAGCCUCCCAUGAGACCGGAACCAUCACAACUGCGCUGCUGCUUAUGAUUUGCUUCGUUGUAUUUAAUAUACUCUUCACUCUCAACUCAGGGAAAAGGACCCUGACAGGACACCCUCCUGUCGGAGCUAACAGAUGUGCACCUUUGAGAAUGAUCAUUGAGAAGGGAAGCCAUGUGACUUCAUCCUCCGUGGCUCUGGUGGUCUCUUCGACAUCUGUGAGAUACUCACUAAAAGCUGGUUGCGCUUUGAGAUCUGGGCGCCUGCUGGAACCUGGAGCCACAAGUCUUCAUGCUAAAGAACUCCUGUCUUGGUGGAGGAAUAUAUAUGAUUGUAAGACCAGGCACCUGUGGCUCACACCUGUAAUCCCAGCACUUUGGAAGGCUGAGGCGGGAGAUCACCUGAGGUCAAGAGUUCGAGACCAGCCUAGCCGACAGGGUGAAACCUCAUCUCUACUAAAAAUACAAAAAAUUAGCUGGGUGUGGUGGUAUGUACCUGUAAUCCCAGCUACCCAAGAGGCUGAGGCAGAAGAAUCACUUGAACCCCGGGGACACAGGUUACAUAUGUCUUCCUAUGAGGGAAAUAAAAUAGCAGGAAGUUUUCCUCUUUGCCUGUGAGGGGAUUUAUGAAAAGCCUUCUAAUCUACAAGUGUUCUUCUGCAAAACUAAAAUACAUUAUGAAGUCAAACAGGUAAAUUAACAACAAAACCAAACUUAUCUCAACAGUCUUGUUUCCAAAGUAAAAUCUAUUAAGAACAAGUAAUAUAUAAGCACAAGAAAUUACAAGAAAUG
rnacentral:lncRNA from 1 species